UCCAGAACCCACCCCGCUUUCUUCCCCAAAUCUCGCUCGCCUCUCGCGGAACCCUAGCCGCCAUGGACGGGAUCGACGCCGAGCUCUCGCGCGCGCAGGACGAGCGCCGGAAGCUGGAGGAGGCCCUGGAGGCCGGCGCGCCCAUGGCCGUCUCCUCCGUCACCUUCGACACGGACCUCUACGGCGGGGGCGGCUCCGACCCCAACCGCUUCGCCGGCUACGACACAUCCAUCCCGGCCUCCGAGGACGACGCGCCCGAGGACGAGCCCGCCGCCAACCCCGCCGCCCGCCGCCUCGCGUCCUACACGGGCCACGCCGUCGCUGCCGCCGACAUCCCCCGCUCGGACGACGACGGGAUGCCCGGGAAGAAGUCCCAGCGCAUCAUCGACCGCGAGGACGACUACCGCCGGCGCCGCCUCGACCGCAUCAUCUCGCCCGAGCGCCACGACGCCUUCGCCGCCGGGGAGGCCACCCCGGACCCCUCCGUGCGGACCUACGUCGAUGCCAUGCGCGAAAACAAGGUGCAGCAAGAGAAGGAGUAUGUGCUGCGGGAGAUUGCUAAGAAGAAGAAGGAAGAGGAGGAGAAAGCCAAGGAGAAGAAGGCUGCCCCUGAGCCACUGCCAGCCGCGACCAAGCGUCGCAACAGGUGGGAUCAGUCGCAGGAUGGUGAUGCUGCUGCUGCCGGGGCCAAGAAGGCCAAGACUGCCUCAGACUGGGAUGCCCCUGAUGCAACCCCUGGGAUUGGGCGCUGGGACGCCACCCCUGGACGUGUUGGUGAUGCCACACCCUCUGUGAGGAGGAAUAGGUGGGAUGAGACGCCAACCCCGGGGAGGAUGGCGGAUGCAGAUGCAACUCCCGCCGCUGGUGGCAUUACUCCAGGAGCCACCCCUUCUGGGGCAUGGGAUGCUACUCCUAAGCUGCCUGGUGGGCUUGUCACACCCACACCCAAGAAGCAGAGGUCGAGGUGGGAUGAGACACCCGCGAGUAUGGGGAGUGCAACACCUGGCGGUACGGCUGCAACACCUGCGAAUUACACUCCUGGAGUGACUCCGUUUGGAGCAGAGAAUCUUGCCACGCCAACACCUGGCCAUCUUGCUCGUGGCCCGAUAACUCCGGAGCAGUACCAGCUCAUGCGUUGGGAACGGGACAUUGAGGAGAGGAACAAGCCUCUCACUGACGAGGAGCUUGACAGCAUGUUUCCGCAGGAGGGUUACAAGAUUCUUGAACCUCCAGCUUCAUACCAGCCCAUACGCACCCCAGCGAGGAAGCUGCUUGCUACGCCAACACCACUGGGCACACCGCUUUAUGCUAUUCCGGAGGAGAAUCGCGGACAACAGUAUGAUGUGCCCAAGGAGAUGGUUGGGUUGCCACUCAUGAAGCCAGAGGAUUACCAGUACUUUGGAACUUUGCUGAAUGAGGAUGAGGAGGAGGAGCUUACUCCAGAGGAGCAGAAGGAGAGGAAAAUCAUGAAACUCCUGCUAAAGGUAAAGAAUGGCACGCCCCCGCAGCGAAAGACAGCACUUCGGCAGCUCACGGACAAAGCACGGGAAUUUGGUGCUGGCCCACUGUUCAACAAAAUCCUGCCAUUGCUCAUGCAGCCAACACUCGAGGAUCAGGAGCGCCAUCUCCUGGUGAAGGUCAUUGAUAGGGUGCUGUAUAAGCUGGAUGAGCUGGUCCGUCCAUUUGUGCAUAAGAUUCUUGUGGUUAUCGAGCCGCUUUUGAUUGAUGAGGAUUAUUAUGCUCGUGUCGAGGGCAGGGAGAUUAUCUCAAAUCUAAGCAAAGCUGCUGGUCUUGCUACUAUGAUUGCCGCCAUGAGACCGGAUAUUGAUAACAUCGAUGAGUAUGUGAGGAAUACAACUGCUAGGGCAUUCAGUGUGGUGGCUUCUGCUUUGGGUAUCCCUGCCCUCCUCCCGUUUUUGAAGGCUGUCUGUCAGAGUAAGAAGUCCUGGCAAGCUCGGCACACUGGUAUCAAGAUUGUUCAGCAGAUUGCCAUUCUCAUGGGCUGUGCUGUUCUGCCUCACCUUAAGAACCUAGUUGAGAUCAUUGAGCAUGGUUUAAGUGAUGAGAACCAGAAAGUGCGGACAAUCACUGCCCUCUCCCUUGCUGCACUUGCUGAAGCUGCUGCACCCUAUGGUAUAGAAAGCUUUGACAGUGUGUUGAAGCCUCUGUGGAAGGGUAUCAGAUCUCACCGUGGAAAAGUCCUUGCUGCCUUCUUGAAGGCUAUUGGUUUCAUCAUCCCUCUUAUGGAUGCUCUGUAUGCCAGUUACUACACGAAGGAGGUGAUGCAAGUCCUGAUUAGGGAAUUCCAGUCACCAGAUGAAGAGAUGAAGAAGAUUGUGCUGAAGGUUGUUAAGCAGUGUGUCAGUACAGAGGGUGUGGAAGCUGAUUAUAUCCGGACUGACAUCCUUCCAGAUUUCUUCAAACACUUCUGGGUUCGGAGAAUGGCUCUAGAUCGUAGGAACUAUAAGCAACUUGUGGAAACAACAGUGGAGAUGGCAAACAAGGUGGGAGUUACUGGUAUUGUUGGGAAGAUUGUUGAGGAUCUGAAAGAUGAAAGUGAGCCUUACAGGAGAAUGGUGAUGGAAACAAUUGAGAAGGUGGUGGCUAACUUGGGUGCUUCGGAUAUUGAACCUCGUCUGGAGGAGCUGCUUAUUGAUGGCAUCUUGUAUGCUUUCCAAGAGCAGACAAGUGAUGAUGCAAAUGUCAUGCUUAAUGGGUUUGGAGCUGUUGUGAAUGCGCUCGGCCAGAGGGUCAAACCUUACCUUCCUCAGAUAUGUGGUACCAUCAAGUGGCGAUUGAACAACAAGAGUGCAAAAGUCAGGCAGCAAGCUGCUGAUCUGAUCUCAAGGAUAGCCAUUGUGAUGAAGCAGUGCCAGGAGGAGCAGCUUAUGGGUCACCUGGGUGUUGUACUGUAUGAGUACUUGGGAGAGGAGUACCCUGAGGUGCUGGGUUCAAUUCUCGGAGCUUUGAAGGCUAUUGUGAAUGUCAUUGGUAUGACAAAGAUGACACCACCAAUCAAGGAUCUUCUUCCUCGUCUGACCCCCAUUUUGAAGAAUAGGCAUGAGAAGGUCCAAGAGAACUGCAUUGAUCUAGUUGGUAGGAUUGCUGAUCGUGGAGCAGAAUUUGUACCAGCUAGGGAGUGGAUGCGGAUUUGUUUUGAGCUGCUGGAAAUGUUGAAGGCUCACAAGAAGGGUAUCAGAAGAGCCACUGUGAACACAUUUGGUUAUAUUGCAAAGGCGAUUGGGCCACAGGAUGUUUUGGCCACUCUGUUGAAUAACUUGAAGGUGCAGGAGCGACAGAACCGUGUUUGCACUACUGUAGCAAUUGCUAUUGUUGCUGAAACUUGUUCGCCUUUCACAGUUUUGCCUGCUCUCAUGAAUGAGUACAGGGUUCCAGAGCUCAAUGUCCAGAAUGGUGUUUUGAAAUCUCUCUCUUUCCUGUUUGAGUAUAUCGGUGAGAUGGGCAAAGAUUACAUAUAUGCUGUCACUCCGUUGCUUGAAGAUGCUCUAAUGGACAGGGAUCUCGUUCACAGGCAGACUGCUGCAUCUGCUGUUAAGCAUAUGGCUCUAGGAGUUGCUGGCUUGGGUUGUGAGGAUGCUCUUGUUCAUCUGCUUAACUAUGUCUGGCCCAACAUAUUUGAGACAUCUCCCCAUGUCAUAAAUGCUGUCAUGGAGGCUAUCGAGGGGAUGAGAGUUGCUCUAGGUGCAGCUGUGGUUCUGAAUUAUUGCCUCCAAGGCCUUUUCCACCCAGCAAGGAAAGUACGUGAAGUAUAUUGGAAGAUCUACAACUCGCUGUACAUUGGUGCGCAAGAUGCACUUGUUGCUUCUUAUCCUGCACUAGGCGACGACGGGGACAAUAUUUUCAGUCGUCCAGAGCUAGCCAUGUUUGUGUGAUCAAUGCAGGAUGUACAUGUCCAUGCAUCGUCAUCCAUAUGCAUUGAUGCAUGUGAAGCUUGAAUUGGGGUGGUAUUUGAAUUAGAGCUCACAUUCAAUUACUCGGUGUUACUUCUUCUGAUGUCUGUCUUUAUUGAAGCUGCAUUUUUUGUAUUUGCAGGCUUGUGCCUUCUGAAGGGCGUGCAAUCUUUAAGAAAUAUGAUUUUUCCUGGUUUACUGUACUGCUAAAUCGCUGCCGUAAUCCAAUGUUCUAACCAUCUCAGGAUUGAUUGUUUUUCAGGGUAAUGUUGGUACAUGUAUGCCAAAGAGUCUUAUCUGGAAGCGAGGCCCAUCCGUUGUAAGGGCAGAGUAGCAUGUUUACUUGGUCGCAACUUCUAAUAUGUAUAAUCUGUCAUAAUGGGAUGUUUUGAAGAGUGAAGACAAUCCUAGAGUUGAUAUUGCACUUACAUAUCACAUGUAAUGUUUGUCACGGUGGCCAUUACUGUUGAAACUCUGUCUUAGCUCAUGUUUCAUAUGCAGUAAACCUAACACUUUUAUGGUGCCUGUUGCAUGAGUAUGGUUGGCUCGCACCUCUUGUAUGCUGGGAUCAUGUUUCUCCAGUAGUGUUUCAAGUUGGAAUUAUAUUGGUUUGCUUGAACCAUCGCCAGUCAGAAUGUGCAAUUGGUUUUCUUGUUGUCUGUAUGCUCUUUUGCGUAUUUCUGUAAACGCACACAAGAUAAUAAUAAAAUGAUGAUAUAUUUAUGCUCCAGGCCAGGUGCUUCGUCAGGCAUUCUUCUUGGUGCCACUACUCUGCCUAGUGUCAUGCUUUCACGGUUGAUCCAACUUUCAAGAGUCUUAUCGACAGAUCCAAAUAGACAAGAAUUUGCAUUCCUUGAAAUGCAGUACAGGACGGUGUCUAUCAGCUGCCUAAGCAUGCUAGCUUUCUUCCUUUGGCAUCUACGUCAGCCUGCCAGCAAUGGAAUUUCUAAAACUUUGAAAUAUGGCAAAUUGAUAAUAGUUUUAUAUCUCAUAAUUUUCUUGUUGCUCUUCCUACUGAAGGGUGGAGGCUGAUGGAGGUCACAAUGUAGUAUGCAAGAUUUUAUCUUCAUUCAACAAGAAUAUUUUCAGUCUAAUUCAAUUCUACUGAUAACAUGAAAUCAACAAAGUAAUCGAUGUUGCAUUUUAUUGUAGGUUUGUUCAUGAUGACCAAAAUUGUGUAUUUGCUCUGCCAUGGCAUGGCUGCUGUGAUCUUAGUCCAGCAUAUUCUAGAGAAGUUCCCUUCAUGUUCAUCUUUUGUUUUGUAAUCUAUUAUUCCCUCCGUCCAACGAAGGAUGUCUCAAUUUUGAUUAAAUUUGAAUGCAUCUAUACACUAAGUCACAUCUAGAUACGUCCAAAUUUUGACAAACUUGAGACAUCUUUUGUUGGACGGAGGGAGUAGCAUAUUUCCUUUUCAUUUUAACUUGGAAAUGCCACCUUUUUCCUUAUUUAUGUAUACUCCUGUAAAUUUCAGGAGAGGCAAUUUUGGUAUCAAGUGGUCUCGUUCUUUACUUUGCUAAUAUGCUUUUUUUUGUUUUUCGACCGAAACUUUGGUGAUAUGCUUGCUGGCUCAUACUCUUGCAAAGAUGGAAUUUUCUUCAUCAUCAGAAGCAUUCAUUCACACACCUGGAACUCGAAGUGAGAUAGCCACAGUUAUUCAGGUAUACUCCCUCCGUCCCAUAUUAAGUGACGAAAUAUUACAUGUAUCUACAUACUUUUGGAUAUAGAUACAUCCAUAUAUGAGCAAAUUUGAGUCACUUAAUAUGAGAAGGAGGGAGAGUAGUUUAUUUUGAUUGCUGGCUUGAGCUUUAUAGUGUGUUUGUAUCUAUUCCUUCUUUUGUCAGGGGAUUUUGCUUGGACUUUUUCUACUCCCCUUUUUGUACAAAAGUUCUCUUCAAGUUUGCAUUUACUGCCGAACAGUGGGGAAGCAAAGAACGCACAAAGUUCAUAAACGGAAAGAAAAAAGAAUAGGUUAUGUUGUA